GUGCCAGCAGCCGCGGUAAUACGUAGGUGUCGAGCGUUGUCCGGAUUUAUUGGGCGUAAAGCGCCCGCAGGCGGCUUGGUAAGUUCCAGGUGAAAUCUCCCGGCUUAACUGGGAGAGGUCCUGGAAAACUAUCAGGCUUGAGGCAGAGAGAGGGAUGUGGAAUUCCCGGUGUAGUGGUGAAAUGCGUAGAUAUCGGGAGGAACACCAGUGGCGAAGGCGGCAUCCUGGCUCUGUCCUGACGCUCAGGGGCGAAAGCGUGGGGAGCAAACCGGAUUAGAAACCCUCGUAGUCC
rnacentral:rRNA from 1 species